AUUACCCAUGCAUCGAUUCGCGAUAAUGAAUAACCUAUGCAGCGAGGCGCGAUUCACGAACGGAAUUUUUCGCAGCGGCAAACUGAAUAAACGUCGGAAUCACCCGUCGCCUCUCUUUGUGAGUUCCCAUUUGUUCGCCGUUCUUACUUACGCGAGCCUCGUCCCGAUGCUCGAAACGAUCGACCGAGUUCCCUCCCUCGACGUUUAACUUCGGUGUACAUUGUUCUCGGGGAAGUCUCGUCAAGUGUAUCAAUACGGGACGAGUCAUCGAGACGCUAGUCAUCCGCAAUUCCCGCUAAUGCGCCUAUGCGUCUGACCGCGACUGUCUGGAUCUACUCGCCCCCGCAAGCCUAGCUGAAACGAACGAGCGUUUGCGAUGGAACAGAAAAAUAUAGUCAGAGUGUACACGUUCCUCUAUCCGACAUAUAAAGAGAAAAACAAAACCGAAUGGGAUUCGAAAAGGAUUUCUUUUAUUAGCUGAACCCGGCUGCUGUAUCGAUCGACCAGUAUCAAUAAUAAUUGACAGAACUUCUGCUAUAUUUUUUUAAACAUAUGAUUGUGUGUUCCUCGUCACGCAACCAUUUGUCGUCUACCUAUUCCCGUUUUCCUUCGAUAAGUCGACAGAACCUGAUUCUACCGGGUUUGUUUUAAAAUACGGUGCUAACUCGUGUUUGAAGCUCAGAUUCGACGGCUUUCCAAUCGUUAGACACGCGUAAUCUUAUUACCUCGCGUGAUUGUCUGCUUUAACAGAGCCACGGUCUAAGGACUUAACGGUGUCGUAAAAAAAAUGAUUGUAACAUUAUUCUACGCAAGGAUAAAUGGCAAUUACUUAAGGAUAGAGUUACAGUUAAACGGUAAUUACACUCGUUUGCCGCAUCGCGAUGCUCAACAGCGGAGGAAGCGAUCUUUAAGUUGCGGCCAUUAAUGCGCGAUUUAGUACGCGUAUACAAUCAACUGAAUACAUAUUUAUAAAGCAACGGACGUAGAUCUGGAAAUACUGCAAGCUCACUGAUUCGGCAAAAAAAAUAUGAGAUUAUAAUAGAAUUCUUUCUCACGUUGCACACAGCCAACGGGAUCGUUGAACAGAGAAACUUUUGUACAAUUUAGUUUAUAUAUAUAUCGUAUACGAGCCGUUCUAAUCGCAUGAAAAAUGUUGGACAAACAGAUUAAUUAAAUUCUAGUUACUUAUCAAGAGCCGAGACACACUUUCACUUUGCUAGCAUAAAUCGUGUCCCAACUUGCGCCGCGCUAAAUAUUUCACGGUCUUUUUAUCGCGUCCUUUAUCGAACAGCGACGAUCGAUCGAUCUAGUCAGACCACGAUAUCCUCGGAGGUGAAACGGCUCGCGGCGUGUAAAACGCAGCGCGAAACACGUUAGAAGAUUGCUUGAACGCGAGGAUAUUCGGAUGGAACGGACGAACGCGGUUGGCAAUUUACAAGAAGCUCAGUUUUAUAGCCGAUAAACGUUUUAGGAAGCUGCAACGGAGGAGCGACGAUUCUGAGAAGCGGAUUACGGAGCCGUCUCGAUGUCAGUGGGACAAUCGUUUUUGGUCCAAUGCGAACAAUUUCGAUGCUCCCAGAACCAUUAUCCUAGAUUCGGUGCUGAGAACUCUUUGUCUGAAUUAAACAGGCAUCGUGUUUUGUCCCGCGAUUAAAAAUGAAAUUUCUGGGUAAAGAGGAUGAACGAGACGGAGUUGGAAACGCUGGGGAAGCGUAUUGAAAAUUGUAUUGUGUAUCCAGUCCCCAAUCUCCUGCCUCGGCUAAAUCGUAUUACAACGUUGAAGUAGUUACCUACUCGAGAAGAGUGGUCUACCGCUACGAGUUCUCAGUAUCAAAUUCGAUCAAGUUCGAUUAAGUCUCUCGCGAGCCGGCUACAGUUUCCUUACGUAAGUGACUCCGAAUUCUCGGUAAAUCUGAGGCUGUUUAAAGUCCGAGAAUAGCUACGUUCAAAACGCGAGAUGCGAAACAAUUCGAGUUCGCCGUUCUCCCACAGAGGAAGUCAGUAGGAAAAAGAAGUUUCGAGGCGAAGAAGUCAAACCGCUGUUACAACUUCACGAUCGAGCGAGGUUCCAUCGGUUCGUAUACUGUUACACGCGCGGUGGAGGCGCUUCUUGCGGCUUGAUCUUCCGCGUGCGUGCCUCGUGUACGAAGUCCCUUGAAAUAGCGAUCGAUGCCCCUUUACGGGGACUAAUAUGCCAACUCCGGCAGUCGACCCGUGUCCGAUGCUCCCCGGCCUCGUACAUGGAGCGAUCGAACCAGACACACGGGCUGCCGACGACUCACUGAUUGACAGAGAUCUUCCUUCGUUCUUGCUUACGGUAUCCUGUCAGGCUCGCUCGGCUACAACGAGUCGGCGUUCGAAUCUCUUCUGUCGCGAUCGUGCCAGAUCAUUUUUUAACUUGUCACGAAUUUCAAUCAUUUGUUCGACCGCGACGUUCAAUUCCCAUAAUGCGAUCCGACAGGUAAGUAUCCUUAAAGCGAUUUCGAUUAUUAACGAUGCCCAAGAGGUUCGAUUGAUUUUAAGCACCUGGAUAAACCGUGAGAUCUCCAAAGCUUGAUGUUUGAUACCAAUGACGAUCUUAAUGACUUCGAAUUAUAAUACUAAAAUAACUUUAAACACAGAUCUCUUUAUUUCAUCAGUUUAUUUCAAGCGACCCGAAUAAUGCUAAAAGAUUUCGUCUCGGAAAUUUUGCAACUGCAGAAACGUGAUCGUCCUGAAACCGAGAAGAGAGCGCGCGGUCUAGAUAAAGGAUCGCACGCGAAGGAUUAAAUCAUCGUUAAAUCUGAGCGCCACGCGUGUCCCCGUUACUUUUCCAGUAUAUAUACGAUAUUACGGCAUUGUGAUGCUCGAUACGCGAUCAGCCAGAAAAGGGACGCGGGAUAUACGUGACGGCAAUCUGGGAGACACCGGAGCCAAAAGUAGCCUCGUGUACCGUUCGGAUUAGUUACCAUCCUUCUUACGAGCGUGUCUGGCGCAAAAAUUCAUCUCGCUUGGCAGGACGCAAAAACGUACCGGCCUAUCUUUUCGGUGAGUCGUGCACCAUCGUCCGACUGCCGCGUGUGGCACGCCACAAAAAGACCCGACGAAGCCGAAGAAAAACGUUCCCUUCCGCAUCGCGCGCUGGUCGAAAGAGGUCCAACGAAAAUUACAUCACCCAGCUUUCUCCUAGCGAACGAUUCGCUUAACGGCCCGACUCCCAUUCGUAACCGCGAGCGUUUUAAUAAUAACGAUCGCGUUUUCUACUGGAGGAUGUGUCACAACGCGCUGCCGCCGUCUAGUACGCUUUCCACGGGAAUCUCGCAAUCCGGUUGUUCGCGUCGCGAUACAGUUUGAAAACCGUGAAAACAUCCCGAGUCCCGGGACGCUGUGGUAAUCUGCGUCCAUUCAUAUUAAUAUCUCAGCCGCAAUUAAGCACGCCUCACGUUUACAACGUUCGCGGUUCCCUUCGUGAACAACCUCCGAAGCGUACCUUUUCCAAAGCACGCGAUUCCAAUUAAAGUUGACGGGAAAAUAAUUCGAAUAAAAACGAGAUCCGUGCAGAUGCCACGAAGUGAAAGCGAGCGCGGCGUUCUUUUCGCGCGGCAACGCUGAUAUGUAAUCGCCGAUGCGAUUAUUCGCUAGGCGAAACAGUAAGUCGUCCGUUUUUUCCAGGUACCGUGAUAAAUGAGCGAGUUAAGACCUCGACUUGAAUGAUUUAUCAGAGCCGGGAGUACUUAAUCCACGCUUUCCGGUACUAAUCGACGCGCACCGUCGAGGAUUUCCGUGUGAAUCAUCAAGACGCAACGAGGAUUCGAAAAGGAGCAGGAAGAAGGAAGCACGACCUAGUUUUAUCGACAACACCGGCCCAUUUAUCUUCAGAUGAUCGCGAGAACCGACCGAAUUGGCACAACUCGAUGCUCCACAAACGGUCGUCGCUGUAGCGAGUCCAUGCCGCUAAUCGGGAUUACAGGGAGUUAAGUCAAACGUUGUCUCGAGUUAUCCGAUGCUCGCACGAUCGAUCGAUUCACCAGAGUCAAGCGCAAAAUUGCAGAAAUUAAGUAAAAGGAAUGCAAUUAAAUUUCUUUUACACGCAUAUCGAUAAUAUGCUUAGUCCUCAUAAUUGCAUUCCCUAUUUGAUUUUUACGAGACAAUUUUUUAUAUUUCUGUCCGGGAGAAUUACGAGCAGGUUCCAGGAAGGCGAAAACUAUGAAAAUAAUUCUGUACAGAUGAUGAUCGUAGUUUAUAGGCAAUAACUUCGUUCCGCUGUAGUAAGUAUCUCGACCGACGAAGGCAGAAAGGAACCCAUGACCAGCAAAGAA